CAAAUAUCGAUCUUUUCGUGGAAACCCUACUAAACGAAUCAUUGUUCCUGAUUGCGGUCUAUUUUCCAUGUCUAUAAAUAAAAGUCGUCUCUCCAAAGCUGUCUGUGUCAUGGUUGUGUAUUUAUAUAUGGAAUAACGACGCGAAAUCCAUGCAGACUUGAGACUUCAUUCAUGAAACCAGCAGUUCUGUGAUUUAAGAAAAAACCUGGAGAACUAGCUCAUUACUAAUUUCUUGAGUUUUUACUUCUAAUAUUUUUUUAUCUUAUAUUUUUAUAUGAAAAUGAUAAUUUUCUUUUUAUUGUAACUUGCUUUAGCUUUGUUGGUUUUACCUGAGAACAGUGUAAUAAAAUAUUUUUUGACUGGG